GAUUGAACGCUGGCGGCAGGCUUAACACAUGCAAGUCGAACGGUAGCAGGAGAAAGCUUGCUUUCUUGCUGACGAGUGGCGGACGGGUGAGUAAUGCUUGGGAAUCUGGCUUAUGGAGGGGGAUAACUACGGGAAACUGUAGCUAAUACCGCGUAAUAUCGAAAGAUUAAAGUGUGGGACCUUCGGGCCACAUGCCAUAGGAUGAGCCCAAGUGGGAUUAGGUAGUUGGUGGGGUAAGGGCCUACCAAGCCUGCGAUCUCUAGCUGGUCUGAGAGGAUGGCCAGCCACACUGGAACUGAGACACGGUCCAGACUCCUACGGGAGGCAGCAGUGGGGAAUAUUGCGCAAUGGGGGGAACCCUGACGCAGCCAUGCCGCGUGAAUGAAGAAGGCCUUCGGGUUGUAAAGUUCUUUCGGUAUUGAGGAAGGGAUGUGUGCUAAUAGUACACGUCAUUGACGUUAAAUACAGAAGAAGCACCGGCUAACUCCGU
rnacentral:rRNA from 1 species